GACGUAGGGUGCGAGCGUUGUCCGGAUUUAUUGGGCGUAAAGAGCUCGUAGGCGGCUCGUCGCGUCGACCGUGAAAACCAGCAGCUUAACUGCUGGCUUGCGGUUGAUACGGGCGGGCUAGAGUUCGGUAGGGGAGACUGGAAUUCCUGGUGUAGCGGUGAAAUGCGCAGAUAUCAGGAGGAACACCCGUGGCGAAGGCGGCUCUCUGGGACGGUACUGACGCUGAGACGCGAAAGCGUGGGGAGCGAACAGG
rnacentral:rRNA from 1 species